AUGUAAACAAUGAGAAUUAAAAUCAGUAAACCUAUCACCAUUGAGUUCCUUUCUUCUUUCACGCUCAAUCAUCCUUCUCUCUCUCAAUUUCGAUCUCUUACCCUCACCAGAGAAAGGUGGCCGACGGCGGCUCGCCGCCCCCUCCGGCGUUUCCCCACCUCGAAACCCUAAUACCCAAACACCAACCUCCCUUGUUUUCGUGCUCUUUCCAAAUCUAUAUUCAGUUUUUUUUCAAAAAUCUCAACCAACAAAGAGAUGAUGAAUGGAGCAACAAUAAAAUCAAAGAACAAAUCAAAACAACGACCAACAAGAUUCGAUUUUCACAAUCAAAGUAAAAAAAACAAAAAUGAAAGAGUCAAAAGAGGGCUACCUAGGUUCAGCAACAAAAUAAGAAUAUGUCCAAGGCAAAGAGAGCAGAGUUCGGACUGUGUAGAGGAAUGAAAGAGAUAAACUAUCUCUUAGUCAUUGUGUAACUAAUACAAUUGAAGAGUCCCUUUAAUUUUGUAAUGUGUGUAAUAGAGGCUUAGUGAUGUAAUAUAAAUUCCUAUUUUCUUUUUUAAA